CCCUUAGAUGUUCUGGGCUGCAUGCGCGCUACACUGAAGCGUUCAACGAGUAUUCACCUUGCCCGGGAGGGUUGGGUAAUCUUUUGAAAACGCUUCGUGAUGGGGAUAGAUUAUUGCAAUUAUUAAUCUUGAACGAGGAAUUCCUAGUAAACGCAGAUCAUCAAUCUGCAUUGAUUACGUCCCUGCCCUUUGUACACACCGCCCGUCGCACCUACCGAUUGGAUGGUCCGGUGAAGCCUCGGGAUUGUGGCGGUUGCCUUUAUUGGUGGCCGCUGCGAGAACUUGUCUAAACCUUAUCAUCUAGAGGAAGGUGAAGUCGUANCA
rnacentral:rRNA from 1 species